UUGAAUGGCUGUUAUAUGUUUGGGAAGAAAACGGUCACUUGGGACACAGCUCGCGCAGAUUGUUUGAAACGUGGUGGAGACCUGAUCAUUCCUACCAGUAACAUCGAAUGCGAUCUUCUUAGUCAGCAUGCUUAUAGCCUUAGACUCAAUUAUCCGUGGAUUGGUGCUUUCAGGUAUCUCAGUUAUCAAACUUUGGCAUAUUAUUGUGCGAUUGUAUAAAUCAAACACACCUAUUGGAAAUCGGCCCUAAAAUUAUGUAUAUAUAUGCUUCUCAAUCAUUCGAAAAUUAGUACUAAUAUGUCGUGAAAAUAAUGGUAUUAAAAAUCAUUUUCUUUUUUUGCAGACGACGAGAAGAUGAGAAAUUUUAUAAUACCUGUG